rnacentral:rRNA from 1 species
UACGUAGGGGGCUAGCGUUGUUCGGAUUUACUGGGCGUAAAGCGCACGUAGGCGGAUCGUUAAGUCGGGUGUGAAAUCCUGGAGCUCAACUCCAGAACUGCCUUCGAUACUGGCGAUCUAGAGUCCGGAAGAGGUGAGUGGAACUCCUAGUGUAGAGGUGGAAUUCGUAGAUAUUAGGAAGAACACCAGUGGCGAAGGCGGCUCACUGGUCCGGUACUGACGCUGAGGUGCGAAAGCGUGGGGAGCAAACAGG